rnacentral:lncRNA from 1 species
ACUGAAAGUGAUGAUUGUGUGCAGGAUGAAGAAGAAAAGGUUCAUCAUUCCUGUCUCUUGGUUUUGAAAAAAAAUAACCUCUUGGGAAGCCAUAGGAAUGGCAAUCUAUGUCUAAUAUGGAUUUGAAACUUUAGGAGUCAUGAAGAAGUUAACUGCAGUGAUUUCUAGACUUUAUAAUAUACUCUCCUUUUAAAAGACUCAAGUUGAGAAACCAUUUGAGCCCCUUGUAGUGGACCGGUAAUAAAUAUGCUGCCUUCUUCCACAGACAUUUCAGAGACUAGUGGACAGUCAGAGGAUCACGAGACAUAUGUCAGAGUGAACAGGACGACAGGGUCAAAACCUGCAAACUCUCUACGAGAGGUGGAUGGUAUCCACAGUGCUCACAUCACUCCAAAUGUGUAUGCCAGCUCUCCUAAAAAAUUAAGAAGUCCAGAGAAGAUCAUAGCCUUGCUUCGGGAGCUAAGACAAAACCAUUGCAAAAAUUGCCAGAUACCUUCAGUUGAUCCCUCCAAUGCGAACCUGACAGGUGACUGCAACCUGCCCGUGAUCCAGGAGGAAACCCCUUGGCCUCCGCUCUCAAAGAUGAAGGAGACACUGGAGCAUUCAGAGCAUGGUGCUUCCUGGGCCAUGAAAGGGAGGGACCACUUGUCCGAAUGGGAUGAUGUAUUUUGGGGUCAAAUAGGAAAUCAGCAUGCAGGUGCUAUUCCCCAGGGAAUGAAACAGAAAAAUGUCAUUACGAAUAAUGCAUGGCUCUCUAGAGAUAAAACAGAUGGCUCAACCUCAGCUACUGCAGCAAAAAGCUAUUUGUCAGACAUGUUGUCAGCAAGUAAUAAAGGUUGA